rnacentral:lncRNA from 1 species
CUCUACAGUGCAUGAAGCAGGAAUGGCAGUUGGGAACUCAAUAAGUACUUCUGGGAAAUUCUCCUGAGGAGAGUGUCUUGAGUGCUGAGACACAGAAGGGAGCGGAAGCUCUUUCUCUGGGCCAUUUUCAAGACACCUGUGGAAAUUUCUGAUACUGACAGAAAUCUUAACAUCAUGGGCUCCUAGUUAAAACAUCGCUGAUUCCUGUCAAGAAAACCACAAAGACAUUAUUCAUUCAUUGACAGCAUCAGGUCCAAAUUCUACCCAGGACCAAAAGAGGAUUCAAGGAAGCAAUGCAAUGUCAAGUCAACCUGUAAUUUCCAGAUAACAAUCUACCAGAAUACAGCCUACCCAAAAUCUCUGCACAGUGUCUCGCUCUCCAUUCCAUAAUGAGGAAAAAGGAUCUUCUCCAUAGUCACAGAACUUCCAGGUGUCAGAAGCAGACUUGAAGACUUGGUCUUCCUGACUCCCAAUUAAGAGAUGGGUAUUGGAUGAAUGAAAUCUUACUACUUUGGAACAAGAAGAUGGAUUGUCAAUCACUUAUUUGAAAUCUCAAAUAUUUAAUUGGUGUGCCUAAUAUUCUUAAGUAUCUAAGUACCUUAAGUAUUUAAGUCUAAAGGAUCUAUAAGAACCUAAUGGUUCAAGGCAAGGGGCUACAGUAAGUUGGGAAGAAGGAAGACACACAGGAA